rnacentral:rRNA from 1 species
GACGAACGCUGGCGGCGUGCUUAACACAUGCAAGUCGAACGGUGAAGCGCCUUCCUUUUUGGUGGGUGUGGAUGAGUGGCGAACGGGUGAGUAACACGUGAGUAACCUGCCCCCUUCUUCUGGAUAACCGCAUGAAAGUGUGGCUAAUACGGGAUAUUCUGGGUCUGUCGCAUGAUGGGUCUGGGAAAGAUAUUGUUUCGGUGGGGGAUGGGCUCGCGGCCUAUCAGCUUGUUGGUGGGGUGAUGGCCUACCAAGGCGGUGACGGGUAGCCGGCCUGAGAGGGUGGACGGUCACACUGGGACUGAGACACGGCCCAGACUCCUACGGGAGGCAGCAGUGGGGAAUAUUGCACAAUGGGCGCAAGCCUGAUGCAGCGACGCCGCGUGAGGGAUGGAGGCCUUCGGGUUGUGAACCUCUUUCGCCAGUGAAGCAGGCCUGCCUCGUUUGUGGGUGGGUUGACGGUAGCUGGAGAAGAAGCGCCGGCUAAUUACGUG